UCCAUUUCCCCAGGUUACUUCACCCCUGGGGUCUCGACUCAGAAUAGAGAUUGAGAAUCACAGAUCUAGUUGAACCAUCCAACUUUUGAACAUGAAUAAACUGAGGACCCAGAGGUGAAGUGAUUUUUCCACAGUCCCACGACAGAUAUGGCCAAACCAGGGAUCCUUUUGCAUUGUGGUUUUGGGAAUCACCUGUAAACAGUAAGAACAAAGUAGCAAGGCUGGGGCUCAGCUGUAGACAAUAAAGCCUUUGCCUGAGGGUUGCAGGAAUGAGAGGCCUCUCUGAGAGGCCCCAAGUCGAUUUUGCCCUUCUCCAGAGACAGAGAGCUGGUCUACCUGAGGCUGACAUGGGGAGGAAAGGCAAAGAGAAGGAUUGCCUGAAUGUCAAUGGUGAUUUUGCACAUUUUACAGUCACUUUUAUAAAAAGG